UUUGACAAGCAGCUGCAGCAAUGGGGAGAGAUAUUUCCUCUCACCUCACUGUAAUUGUUGCUUCUCAGAUAUAAACGGUGUUAGAGUUUCAGCUUCUCACAGUUUGGUCAAAUACUUCAAGUUCAGGACUGAUCAGCCUCACAAGGAAACAUACUGUAAAUCAGAGUCCAGGACUUCCUCCGGUGGGAUUCCAAACUAAAAGACCCUUGACAGCGAGAGCUCGUCCCCCUGAACAUCAACACCUCAGCUGAGACUCAAGGAGUCGUUGUUGUUCUGUCCGUCAUCAACAGACCAAAGGGAGAAGAUGAUCUGCAGGAUCCUGCUGCUCAUCAUCCUCACAUCACAUGUCUGUGAAAUGUGUGAACAUCCUCCUCUCUUUCCCUCUCCGUCUCCUCAGCAGCAACAUUUGUAGUGAAUGUGACACAGAGCUCCUAUCAGACAGAGGAGAACCACAACAUCACCCUGGAGUGGACCUUCACCCCCAAACCUGGAACCUCCUCCAGACUUCCUGACAUCUACUGUGAACUCAGAACUUAUCUCAGACCCUUAAUGCUGUUUCAUGUGGUGAACGGAGUUGAGAUGACCUUUUAUCACGAUGAACAGUUUUCAGGACGAGUCCAGAGCGACAGAGAUGCUCUGAGAGAGGGACGACUAAGACUCCACAUGUCCAGACUCAGGACUGAGGACUCAGGACAGUACUGGUGUAGACUGGACACAGAGUCUGGAUGGGGGUCUGCCAGCUGUGAAGUCCUCGUCUCUGCAGCUGCUGAUCUUCCACCUCAGACGCCAACGAUGAUCCCAGAACAAGAACCUCAGGAGACGACCAGAUCCUACGCUGCAGCAGAAGUUGGAGUAGCUGUUGCAGCAGCUGCUCUUCUGAUUAUUUGUGUUACAGUUUUAGUGAAGCAAAGGAGAAAGAAAACCUGCUGUUUUGUCUCAGAGAACCCUCGAGGAGUCGUACACAAGUUUCUGAUGAAUCACAACGUGAGGAUUUUCGGGGAGCUGCUGGAGUUUGUCCCAGGUCUCCGAGGGAAGAACCUCCACAAUACGGAGAACAUGCAAACUCCAACUAAAAACCUGCUGGGAGUCGAACCAGGAACCUCGUUGCUGUAAAGCAGCAGUGCUGACUUCUACACCGCUGUGCUUGUCAGUCAUUGUUCUUCCUAAAACACGCUGUUAUGCUUCUUCACUGUUUUACUUCAUAUCAGUCAUUACUGUCAGAUAUCUUUACACUUUACACUAAACUCUCUGUUGUCAUGGAUACUAAAGUACCAGAAUAUCAAUAUAAUAUAAUAAUAAUAUAAUAUAAUAUCAAUAUAAUAAAAUAUCAGAAUAAUAUACGAAUAUAACAGUAUCCAUGCGUAAACGUGGUUUCCAGUAGUUUCUGCUUGUGACUUCAAAUGAGGAGGACAGUGAAUAGUAUUCAUGUUUUCUGAUCAAUAUACUUUGUGGUUUUAUAUUUCCCUGUAUUGUUGUUGCCAUGACAACUCAGUUUCCAUCUGGGGAUUAUGAAUAUUUUUUUUAGUAUAUAACUAUUUAUUUCUCUUGUUUUAACCUUUUAUAAAAACAGCAUUACAUCAUGUUUUAUUACAACACAAAUAUACAAAAUGAAUCCUUUUUAAAUAAAUCCUGAUUACAAAAACGUUGUGUAAAAUGUAAAAUUAAAAGUCUAAGAAUUAUCACAUCA